GGGCCCGCACAAGCGGUGGAGCAUGUGGUUUAAUUCGAUGCAACGCGAAGAACCUUACCUGGUCUUGACAUACACAGAAUCUUGUAGAGAUACGAGAGUGCCUUCGGGAAUUGUGAUACAGGUGCUGCAUGGCUGUCGUCAGCUCGUGUCGUGAGAUGUUGGGUUAAGUCCCGCAACGAGCGCAACCCUUGUCCUUAGUUACCAGCGGGUUAAGCCGGGAACUCUAAGGAUACUGCCAGUGACAAACUGGAGGAAGGCGGGGACGACGUCAAGUCAUCAUGGCCCUUACGACCAGGGCUACACACGUGCUACAAUGGUAGGUACAGAAAGCAGCCACUUGGUGACAAGGAGCUAAUCUCUAAAAGACGUCUCAGUUCGGAUUGUUCUCUGCAACUCGCCUACGUGAAGGCGGAAUCGCUAGUAAUCG
rnacentral:rRNA from 1 species